GCUUUAUAAGCGAUUCGUGCUGCAAAAUGGAGAACGUGGUAGAACGAGACAACUUGAAGGUAAUCUAAAACUUCUUUUCGUUUAUCAACUUAUUGAAAAGAUUAUAAUUAAACCAUCAUUCCUUUGAAUGUAUUUUUACUAUUCACGGAGUUGAACAUUUUGCAUUUACAUCCUAUCCUUUAAUACAUAAUAAUUUAAUUUAAGAUGAACGCUUCUUCUGAUUGGCUGACAGUGUUUUGUUUAUUAGUAUAUAGACGUAAUUUAGUCAUGUGACCGUGACGUCAUCAACGUGUUUUUUUAUGAUUUAGUCGGGUUUAAAAUGGAAUUGAGAAUUAAAUUAUAAGAAAUGACUGUAAUAUUUUUUCUAUUUAUUUGAAAUAGCAUAAAAAAUGUGGUGCACACUUUAAAAUAACCUGCUACGCUGGUUAUUCAGUGUGCACCACAUUUUUUCUAUUAUUUAAUUAUUACAGUCAUUCCAUAAAUAUUUCAAAAAAAGUUAAAACAAAAUAUCACUUUAAAUGUUGUUACUUCAGACUAGAGAUUGUUUAUACGAAAAAAGUCGAAACAUAAAGGGAUUUUCAAGUUCAUAAGUCGAAAACAAACUUGCAAUACCAUAUGGUAAAAACGAAUAAAAGACAAUCAGCAAUACACAACAUAGAAAACUAGAGAUUAAGCAACAAAAUAUGAACAUUUAUGAAGUGGAUGUAUUCGAGAAAAUAUCAAUUGAUAAAAAGCAUAUAACAGGAGGAAAGUACAUUACUUGCUUAUUUGAGGAACUGCUAUGCCUUCAAUAACUAAAUUAAUAUGCUAAUAAGAUUUUAAAAAAGCGGUAUGAUUUGCUACUUAUACAUAAAUAUGGAACGCCACAGCUGCCUUACCCUGCUUUUCCAUUAUGUGCCGUGUUUUAUUUUAGUAUUCAAACAAGUUUCUCGUGUUUGUAGCUGGACUGUGUAUGUUUUAUGUGUUUCACCUUUCCUACAUUUGGUUUAGAUAGGCAAAGAUUGUAAUAUGUGUGACGUGUUCGUUAAACCGCUUCAUAUUUAAUGUCGGUUUCAAGUCGGGCUAUCCUAGAUAUUAUUUUGAUGAGUCUUGUGUUGGUGGUUUGUGUUAUCUAAUGUUCUAUUUCUUUUUUUAAGUUCAGUUUUGUGUCUUAUUACUAUCUCAUAAUUUACCGUAGAAUAUUUAACAAUUUUAUGUCUUAUUGACAUGAUCCACUAAUUUACAUUGUAAAUCGUUUUAACAUUACAGAUACGACGACGAUGUCAUGUCUUACGUAUUACAUUAAUACACUGCAAGUUAAAUUGAAACCCGCCGGUGUUGCCGUUGCCCCUGCGUAGCACGAAGAAGACGGUAUUGACGGUCAUUAAUGCUCCAUCAGGGAGUCAGCGAUGGUCCGGCCGUUAAACCAAGGAAAUGUUUCACUAUACUUAGAAAAUGGUUCAGAAGACGACAAAUAUAAUCAUUUGAACCCAAAAAUCGAGAGAAAGAUUACAGAUGUGUACUUUAAAACAUUGGCAAUAUUUACACAAAAAUACAAAAUGUUCAAAGUGGAAAGCAAGUUACUGUUACUCUUCCAAAUUAUGACAGAAUGGUAUUAAACAAGACAAAACAUUAAUGUCACGGUCAAACGAAAAUUAUCACGACAACAUUCAAUCUGCAUGCGUUCUAUGCGUAUGCUUUUGUUAAUUAUUAUUCUCCAAUAAAAUAUUACAA
rnacentral:lncRNA from 1 species